rnacentral:rRNA from 1 species
AUAUCAAUAAGCGGAGGAAAAGAAACUAACAAGGAUUCCCCUAGUAACUGCGAGUGAAGCGGGAAAAGCUCAAAUUUAAAAUCUGGCGGUUUUGGCCGUCCGAGUUGUAGUCUGGAGAAGUGCUUUCCGCGCCGGACCGUGUACAAGUCUCCUGGAACGGAGCGUCAUAGAGGGUGAGAAUCCCGUCUUUGACACGGACUACCGGUGCUUUGUGAUGCGCUCUCAAAGAGUCGAGUUGUUUGGGAAUGCAGCUCAAAAUGGGUGGUGAAUUCCAUCUAAAGCUAAAUAUUGGCGAGAGACCGAUAGCGAACAAGUACCGUGAGGGAAAGAUGAAAAGCACUUUGGAAAGAGAGUUAAACAGUACGUGAAAUUGCUGAAAGGGAAACGAUUGAAGUCAGUCGCGUCGUCCGGAACUCAGCCUUGCCUCGGCUUGGUGCACUUUCCGGUUGACGGGCCAGCAUCGAUUUUGACCGGCGGAUAAAGGUUCGAGGAAUGUGGCACCCUCGGGUGUGUUAUAGCCUCGGAUUGUAUACGUCGGUUGGGAUCGAGGAACUCAGCUUCGGCUUAGGAUGCUGGCGUAAUGGCUUUAAACGACCCGUCUUGAAACACGGACCAAGGAGUCUAACAUGCCCGCGAGUGUUUGGGUGGUAAACCCAGGCGCGUAAUGAAAGUGAAAGUCGAGACCUCUGUCGUGGAGGGCAUCGACGCCCGGACCUGACCUUCUGUGACGGCUCCGCGGUAGAGCGUGUAUGUUGGGACCCGAAAGAUGGUGAACUAUGCCUGAAUAGGGUGAAGCCAGAGGAAACUCUGGUGGAGGCUCGUAGCGAUUCUGACGUGCAAAUCGAUCGUCAAAUUUGGGUAUAGGGGCGAAAGACUAAUCGAACCAUCUAGCUGG